CCCGUGAUAGCCCAGUUGGUAGAGCGGAGGACUGUAGAUCCUUAGGUCGCUGGUUCAAAUCCGGCUCGCGGGA
rnacentral:tRNA from 1 species